rfam:Phycisphaerae bacterium L21-RPul-D3, complete genome.
GCCAGCGUAGCUCAGUGGUAGAGCACUGGUUUUGUAAACCAGCGGUCGUGGGUUCAAAUCCCACCGCUGGCU